CCGAAGUCAACGGGACGCACAGGUAUCCCGAACUAAAUCUAGCAACAUUACUUGGAUCCAAGUGCAGUGUCCGCAACAGAAAAACAGUUACGAUUGCGGAUACUUUGUAUUGAGGUUUAUGAAAGAAAUCCUUCAGGCAAAUCAAUUAGAGAUUCCGCUCACGUACCUUGACGAAUUCCGUGCCGCUGGAUACCCGAAACUUAAGUUGGAAGAAAUAAAAGAGGAUUUGUGUCAUUUUUAUAUUAAGCGCUUUUUCAUGUAGGAUUUGUGUCGAAU